AUGGAUGAAGAAACUGCUAGAGACCUUUUUGCCUGCAAAUAUAGAUAUGAUCUCAAGAAACUGUUAGUUAAGCGGAAAGAAAAGUCUUUGAAUGCUAGAAUGAAAUAUGCCCAUGCCUUUGAUACUUCACCUAUCUGUAUUUCUGAUAAGGAUUAUGAUUUCUUUGUCGAUCCUGAGUUAAUUACUUUGGUUGAAUCUGAUCCUUUUUAUGGCUAUGAAUCUGAAACUGUAGUGGCACAUCUUACUAAAUUAAAUGAUAUAGCCACCCUAUUCACUCAUGAGGAAAAAAUCCAUUACUACUAUAUCCUUAAGUUAUUUCCCUUCUCAUUAAAGGGUGACGCUAAGACAUGGUUUAAUUCUCUUGCUCCUGGUUGUGUGCGUAGUCCCCAGGAUAUGAUUUAUUACUUCUCUGCUAAUAUUUUCCCGCUCAUAAGAAACAAGCUGCCUUAA
rnacentral:rRNA from 1 species